UACGUAGGGUGCGAGCGUUAAUCGGAAUUACUGGGCGUAAAGCGUGCGCAGGCGGUCUGUUAAGACCGAUGUGAAAUCCCCGGGCUUAACCUGGGAACUGCAUUGGUGACUGGCAGGCUUUGAGUGUGGCAGAGGGAGGUAGAAUUCCACGUGUAGCAGUGAAAUGCGUAAAGAUGUGGAGGAAUACCGAUGGCGAAGGCAGCCUCCUGGGCCAACACUGACGCUCAUGCACGAAAGCGUGGGGAGCAAACAGGA
rnacentral:rRNA from 1 species